UACGAAGGGUGCAAGCGUUACUCGGAAUUACUGGGCGUAAAGCGUGCGUAGGUGGUUUGUUAAGUCUGAUGUGAAAGCCCUGGGCUCAACCUGGGAACGGCAUUGGAAACUGGCUUACUAGAGUGCGGUAGAGGGGUGUGGAAUUCCCGGUGUAGAGGUGAAAUUCGUAGAUAUCGGGAGGAACACCGGUGGCGAAGGCGGCGACCUGGGUAGAUACUGACGCUGAGGCGCGAAAGCGUGGGGAGCAAACAGG
rnacentral:rRNA from 1 species